rnacentral:rRNA from 1 species
GACGAACGCUGGCGGCGUGCCUAAUACAUGCAAGUAGAACGCAGUUGCGAACGGGUGAGUAACGCGUAGGUAACUGCCUGGUAGCGGGGGAUAACUAUUGGAAACGAUAGCUAAUACCGCAUCCUACCAGUUGGACCUGCGUUGUAUUAGCUAGUUGGUGAGGUAACGGCUACCCAAGGCAACGAUACAUAGCCGACCGGAGAGGGGUAUCGGCCACACUGGAACUGAGACACGGCCCAGACUCCUACGGGAGGCAGCAGUAGGGAAUCUUCGGCAAUGGGGGGAAACCUGAUGCAGCCAUGCCGCGUGUAUGAAGAAGGCCCUAGGGUUGUAAAGUACUUUCAGUCGGGAGGCGUUACCGGCAGAAGAAGCACCGGCUAACUCCGUGCCAGCCGCCGCGGUAAUUC